rnacentral:rRNA from 1 species
UACGUAGGGUGCAGGCGUUAAUCGGAAUUACUGGGCGUAAAGCGUGCGCAGGCGGUUUCUUAAGUCAGAUGUGAAAGCCCCGGGCUUAACCUGGGAACUGCGUUUGAUACUGAUGAGCUUGAGUGCAGGAGAGGAACGCGGAAUUCCAGGUGUAGCGGUGAAAUGCGUAGAUAUCUGGAGGAACACCGGUGGCGAAGGCGGCGUUCUGGACUGCAACUGACACUGAGAAACGAAAGCCAGGGGAGCAAACGGG